GAUGAACGCUGACAGAAUGCUUAACACAUGCAAGUCAACUUGAAUUUGGGUUUUUAACUUAGGUUUGGGUGGCGGACGGGUGAGUAACGCGUAAAGAACUUGCCUCACAGCUAGGGACAACAUUUGGAAACGAAUGCUAAUACUUAAUAUUAUGAUAAUAGGGCAUCCUAUAAUUAUGAAAGCUAUAAGCGCUGUGAGAGAGCUGUGCGUCCCAUUAGCUAGUGGAGAGGUAACAGCUCACCAAGGCGAUGAUGGGUAGCCGGCCUGAGAGGGUGAUCGGCCACAAGGGGACUGAGACACGGCCCUUACUCCUACGGGAGGCAGCAGUGGGGAAUAUUGGACAAUGGACCAAGAGUCUGAUCCAGCAAUCCUGUGUGCACGAUGAAGUUUUUCGGAAUGUAAAGUGCUUUCAGUUGGGAAGAAAGAAAUGACGGUACCAACAGAAGAAGUGACGGCUAAUUCCGUGCCAGCAGCCGCGGUAAUACGGAAGGUCCGGGCGUUAUCCGGAUUUAUUGGGUUUAAAGGGAGCGUAGGCCGUGGAUUAAGCGUGUUGUGAAAUGCAGGUGCUCAACGUCUGCACUGCAGCGCGAACUGGUCCACUUGAGUGUGCGCAACGCAGGCGGAAUUCGUCGUGUAGCGGUGAAAUGCUUAGAUAUGACGAAGAACUCCGAUUGCGAAGGCAGCUUGCGGGAGCACAACUGACGCUGAAGCUCGAAAGUGCGGGUAUCGAACAGG
rnacentral:rRNA from 1 species